AUACGUAGGUGCCAAGCGUUAUCCGGAUUUACUGGGCGUAAAGGGCGUGUAGGCGGUCUUGCAAGUCAGAAGUGAAAUUCCUGAGCUCAACUCGGGCGCUGCUUCUGAAACUGCAGGACUUGAGUGCUGGAGGGGAUAGCGGAAUUCCUAGUGGAGCGGUAAAAUGCGCAGAUAUUAGGAAGAACACCGGUGGCGAAGGCGGCUAUCUGGACAGUAACUGACGCUGGGGCGCGAAAGCGUGGGGAGCAAACAGGAUUAGAUCCCCUGGUAGUCCACGCCGUAAACGAUGAAUACUAGGUGUAGGGGGUAUCGACUCCCUCUGUGCCGCAGUUAACACAAUAAGUAUUCCGCCUGGGGAGUACGGCCGCAAGGUUGAAACUCAAAUGAAUUGACGGGG
rnacentral:rRNA from 1 species